rnacentral:lncRNA from 1 species
UUUUGCAUUAAAUUAGUUUUAAAGUUAAGGGAUAUAUAUAAGACCUUUUUAUUAACAAGUUGAUGAGAUGAGCAUUAGUAUACCUAUAGGAAGUUUUUGAAUGAGUGCCAAUUCUGAAUUUACAAAUCAACAUUUCUUCUCUCCAGCUUUCUUUAGCUUGCCCAUGGUGAUGUGAAGAUGAGAAGAAAUAGCAAGGCCCAACCAGUUCUUCAUCUGGAGACAGUUCAACGUUCUGCAAACCAGAUCUUCAGGAAUUUUACUGGGAUAAUUAUCCAAAUAAAUUGCAAGCAUUCUAUCCAAAUGGAGCUCUUUCUGAGAUGAAGAGAAUUCUCAAUGUCAAGAUUUGAACAAGAAGAGAAUGGAAUACACAAUAUGGACAUCCAUAAAAAUUCAUCAGAGAGCAUUUUACUACUGAGCUGCAAAGAUGACAAGAGCACCUCAAAGGCAGCAGCCUCAAGGAGCAGCCAUGGCCCCAGACUUGUCGCACGGAUGCAGAAAACUUAAUGGAGGAGGCUGAGGUCAGAAUGGGAAGAGUUUUUAAAAAAUAAAAAGGGGAGCUAAUAUGUGAGGAACUGAUUGCUGUGCAUUAUUUUCCACUGAACAGACCUUCUUUUAACUUCUAAUCUCAAGCACAUAGCAGCUGUUGUUUUCAUAUUAAAGAUCAGUAAGUGUUUGUUGAA